UACAGAGGGGGCAAGCGUUGUUCGGAAUUACUGGGCGUAAAGGGCGCGUAGGCGGCCUUCUAAGUCGAACGUGAAAUCCCCGGGCUCAACCCGGGAACUGCGUCCGAUACUGGAAGGCUUGAAUCCGGGAGAGGGAUGCGGAAUUCCAGGUGUAGCGGUGAAAUGCGUAGAUAUCUGGAGGAACACCAGAGGCGAAAGCGGCUUCCUGGGCUAGCACUGACGCUCAGGCACGAAAGCGUGGGGAGCAAACAGG
rnacentral:rRNA from 1 species